AAUAGUUGUUGUUAGUGGCAAAUAAUGAUGGUGGUGAUAGUUAUGACGGUGAAGAUGGUUGAUGUUGUGGUGACUAUCAUAAUGAUGACGAUUGGUAGUGGUGUUGGUGAUUGUAAUGAUGAAGUUGGGUGAUGUUAAUAGUUGGCGGUGUUAAUGAUGGUGGCUAAAGAAUGUGUAGUCGUUGGUGAUGUAUUUGUGAUAGUUGGUGGUGAUGCUAGUUAUGAUGAUGGAGGUGGUUGGUAGUAGAGAUUGACUAUAGUGGUG
rnacentral:lncRNA from 1 species